CCUACGGGGGGCAGCAGUGGGGAAUAUUGCACAAUGGGCGCAAGCCUGAUGCAGCCAUGCCGCGUGUGUGAAGAAGGCCUUCGGGUUGUAAAGCACUUUCAGCGGGGAGGAAGGCGUUAAGGUUAAUAACCUUGUCGAUUGACGUUACCCGCAGAAGAAGCACCGGCUAACUCCGUGCCAGCAGCCGCGGUAAUACGGAGGGUGCAAGCGUUAAUCGGAAUUACUGGGCGUAAAGCGCACGCAGGCGGUCUGUCAAGUCGGAUGUGAAAUCCCCGGGCUCAUCCUGGGAACUGCAUUCGAAACUGGCAGGCUAGAGUCUUGUAGAGGGGGGUAGAAUUCCAGGUGUAGCGGUGAAAUGCGUAGAGAUCUGGAGGAAUACCGGUGGCGAAGGCGGCCCCCUGGACAAAGACUGACGCUCAGGUGCGAAAGCGUGGGGAGCAAACAGGAUUAGAUACCCGAGUAGUC
rnacentral:rRNA from 1 species